rnacentral:rRNA from 1 species
UACAGAGGUCUCAAGCGUUGUUCGGAUUCAUUGGGCGUAAAGGGUGCGUAGGCGGUGUGGAUAGUUGAGUGUGAAAUCCCGAGGCUUAACCUCGGAACUGCACUCAAUACUCCCAUGCUAGAGGAAUGUAGAGGAGAGUGGAAUUCACGGUGUAGCAGUGAAAUGCGUAGAUAUCGUGAGGAAGACCAGUUGCGAAGGCGACUCUCUGGGCAUUUCCUGACGCUCAUGCACGAAGGCCAGGGGAGCAAACGGG